rnacentral:rRNA from 1 species
GGUCAAAGAUACUAAGGGCGCAGGGUGGAUGCCUUGGCGCUAGCAGCCGAAGACGGGCGUGGCAAGACUGCGAUAAGCUCCGGGGAGCUGUCGAGCAAGCUUAGCCGGAGAUUCCCGAAUGGGG